CUUAAAGGAAUUGACGGGGGCCCGCACAAGCGGUGGAGGAUGUGGUUUAAUUCGACGCAACGCGAAGAACCUUACCAAGACUUGACAUCCUUGAGAUCUUGUAGAAAUACGAGAGUGCUCGAAAGAGAAUCAAGAGACAGGUGGUGCAUGGCUGUCGUCAGCUCGUGUCGUGAGAUGUUGGGUUAAGUCCCGCAACGAGCGCAACCCUCGAUGCCAGUUGCCAGCAUUAAGUUGGGGACUCUGGCGUGACUGCCGGUGAUAAGCCGGAGGAAGGUGAGGACGACGUCAAGUCAUCAUGCCCCUUACGUCUUGGGCUACACACGUCCUACAAUGGUAUAGACAAAGGGUAGCAAGUAUGCAAAUGCAAGCCAAUCCCAUAAACUAUAUCUCAGUUCGGAUUGUGGGCUGAAACUCGCCCACAUGAAGUCGGAAUCGCUAGUAAACGUAGAUCAGCAUGCUACGUUGAAUACGUUCCCGGGCCUUGUACACACCGCCCGUCACACCACGAA
rnacentral:rRNA from 1 species